AUUGGUAUGGUAUGCCAUUAAAAUUUUUGGUUGAUUUUUUCUGUUGGCACUUCGUGAUCCGGAAAAAUGAGCAGCUUUCCAAGUAUGGAGACACAAAAUCGGUUUGUAAUAUUAUGCUUGUAGAACUUAAUAAGCUAAUUGAAGCAAACCCCCUGUUUCGUGACAAGCUUACAUUCCUAGCCUUCAACAGUUCACAACUGAGGACAUUAAUAAACCCGAGUUUAAAUUGGCAGCAUCAACAUUGCAAGAAUCCUUGUCCAAACCCUGAUAUUAAAACACUCUUCACUGAUCAUUCUUGCAACCCUACGGCAAAAGGAGCUAGUCCUUCUCCUACAAACAGCCCAGCUUGUGGGACCAAUUCCUAAGGCUGGUGCAUUUCGCCUAUUGGUGCUCAUGGUCCAUAUCAGAGUGUUGUUUCCCCAUCUCCAGGUGCUAUUGCUGCAUUCUUGAAACAUCCAAGGACGCCGACAGGUAUGAAUGGGAUGGAUUGUCAAUCAGAGUAUUCAAAGCAUUUGAUGAAGCGUAUCUGCACUGGCCAAUCUGAUGAUGUCUGGAUGAGUGACAUAAUCUAUUGUUUUUUCAAGCUUGAUAGCUGCUAUAAAUUUCUAAAUGGCCUUUACAUCAGCUGGUUGUAACAAUUCUUUUGUUCCUUUCUCACCUCUUAUUAUCUUUUGGUUUUCUAGGUGUCUUUUGCUGGUGUGGCACAUACUCCCAAUGUAUAUUCUCAAGCUAGCCUUACCAAAGCCGUUGUGUGAACCCUUAAUCAAGGAUCUAAUGUCAUGAGCAUGGACUUCCAUCCAUAGUAUUCUUCUUGUGGGGGCAAAUGUUGGUGACACAAAUGAAAGCUCUCUGCGUACCUGAUUAUAUAGCACCAAGCACGGUAGGUGGUAAAGAAUUCAAGUAUUUGCAUUUUAUUUCAGUUAGGAAGAAACCCCUCUGCUUCUGUGGUGUUGGAUAUUUUCUUUGUGGUUAUUUACUGCCCUUUGUGUGCCUGUGCUCAUAUAUGAGAUAUUUUACUAUUAUAAAGCUAUGCAAAUCAUAUGAACUAUAUCUUUCGUUAAUAUACCAACCGUAUAUUCUAAAGAAUUAGAUGCACAAUGCCAGGAACUCUAGAAUGUUAAGUCAAAUGCUGGAAUGCUAGUUUAAACCUGCUCAUCUGAUGUGCUAACCUUUCUUUUGAAUUUUUCCUUUCUUUUUUUGAAUAU